rnacentral:rRNA from 1 species
GACGUAGGGCGCGAGCGUUGUCCGGAUUUAUUGGGCGUAAAGAGCUCGUAGGCGGCUUGUCGCGUCGAACUCGGUGAAUCCCGACGGCUCAACUGCGGGUCUGCAGUCGAUACGGGCAGGCGUAGAGUUCGGUAGGGGAGACUGGAAUUCCUGGUGGUAGCGGUGAAAUGCGCAGAGUAUCAGGAGGAACACCGGUGGCGAAGGCGGGUCUCUGGGCCGGAUACUGACGCUGGAGGAGCGGAAAGCGUGGGGAGCGAACACGG